rnacentral:lncRNA from 1 species
GGCAACCGGCUCAGGUCCCCUUCUAUUGUGGAAGCUUUGUUCUUUCUCUCUUUGCAAUAAAUCCUGCUGCUGCUCACUCUUUGGGUCCACACUGCCUUUAUGAGCCGUAACAGGUCUGCAGUUUCACUCCUGAGCCGGCGAGACCACGAACCCACCAGAAGGAAAAAACUCCGAACACAUCCGAACAUCAGAAGGAACAAACUCCAGACGCGCCACUUUAAGAGCUGUAACACUCACCGCGAGGGUCCGUGGCUUCAUUCUUGAAGUCAGUGAGACCAAGAACCCACCAAUUCCGGACACAUUGGGAACUUAGAGCAGUGCUUGGGACAUGGUUAUCAGCGUCAGAUAUUUCCUUAAACUAGCGUGAAGUCGACUUUAACCUUCCAGCAGUGUGAGUGAGGGCCCUGACCCUAGAAUCAACGCCCAAAGAGCUGUGGCGCUACAGCGGGCGGGGACAUGGGGUGCGCAUGCGUGCGGGGGGGUACGCGUGCGUGCAAGUGCGCGUGCGCGCGCAGGACCGCUGAGGCGGGAGCCCCGAAUGCGGUUCUCGCUUGCUGCGUGGCGGUAAAGGACCGCAGGUGUCGUAAAAGGGCCGCAGUGGCAGCGUCCUGGCCGACGGCUAGUAGCCCAUUUUGGAUACCGUCCUCGCUGCGGAAAGUUGGGGCAACCUGUUGCUAGUCUGGUCGUUGGUGACAGCGAGGCUUCCGCGCUCGCUGCUGGUGAGCAGCCCCGGCGUGCCCCGCGGGCUGGAAGAGGCGGCGGCGUGAUGCGGCCCGUGGACGCGGACGAGGCGCGGGAGCCCCGCGAGGAGCCGGGCAGCCCGCUGAGCCCCGCGCCCCGCGCCGGCCGCGAGAACCUGGCCUCCCUGGAGCGCGAGCGCGCCCGGGCGCACUGGCGGGCCCGCAGGAAGCUGCUGGAGAUCCAGAGCCUGCUCGACGCCAUCAAGAGUGAGGUGGAGGCAGAGGAGCGGGGCGCCCGGGCCCCAGCACCCCGCCCGCGUGCGGAGGCUGAGGAGCGGGUGGCUCGGCUGUGCGCCGAAGCAGAGAGGAAGGCUGCGGAGGCGGCGCGGAUGGGCAGGCGGAUCGUGGAGCUGCACCAGCGGAUCGCCGGCUGCGAGUGCUGCUGAGCCGGCGAGGCCGCGCGGGUCUGGAGCGGAGCGCGGCGGGGAGUGUCCCGCGUGGAAGGCGCUGGGUAGGCAGGGAGGGGAGCGCAGAGCCGUGCCACGCUCUCCGCGGAGUUGGUUUCAUUCUUUUUUCAUAGAUUUGAUAUGUUGUUGUAAAGAGUCAUGACCACUGGAAGUAUUUUCAGGACGUAGACCUGGUGGGUCACUACGUGGGGGGAGAGAGGUGUGAAGCGGAGGUACAUGCUGGAAACGUGUGAAUGUUGUUACGAGAUUGGAGCGUUUGCGAUGACCUUCCUGCAGGUGGAAGCAUUGUGCACAGGUGGUUGGGUUUGUUUGACUCCCGGAUAUGAGAAUAUCAAGCUCAAAAUUUAUGUUGUGAUGAUGAAUUUCUCCCACUUGUACUUUAGGUGGCCAACUGACGAACUGUGUUCACCUGAUAAGGAGUCGUGGCUGCUUGGACAGGCUCAAACCAAGAGAGCCUUUCGUUUUGUCUCCCCUGUUUUUCUGCCUGCGUUUUCUCCACAUUAGCCACUCAAUUUCCAGUACCAUCCUGGCGGAUGACUUCAGCAUUAGAUGGUCAGGUGUAUUUUUUUAUUAAUAGGCGCAUUCAGUUUGGAAAAGACAGCUUUUCAUUAAUGUCCCACGUAAAGGAAUAUGGCCUAUACAGUACGUACGCUGCUGCGUGGUCAUAUUUGUUCCUGUGAUCUUAUUGUAUUUUCAAAGUUUGGAAGUAUACUCGUGUGCUUUGCUGUUUUUUUAUGCUUCCUGGAAUUUGGGGACUCAUGAGAGACUUGAGGUUAGAGUUCUGCAAGUGAGAAGACACUACAUGGUUGCAGCUGCCACAUGAAGAACCCAAGCUCCUGUCAAAGUUGUGAAUGCGACUUUGGAUGAGAUUAAGAAGGCCCAGUGGACGGUUGGUCUUGAAGAGUGGCAGUGUGUGGAUUUGAGGACCUCUGCAGACCAUCAGAUCAAAGGAGGGAGAGCUGUUUUGGGUGUUUUGUUUUUUUUGUUUUUAUAGCAUUUUGCUUUUUCUUGGAAUGUAAUUUUCCUAUGGCAUGUUAACUGGUGCACAUCGUGUAACCUGUCUGGUGAGCAACCUACAAUUGGGAUGAGUUCUAGGUACAUGUGUUUGCUGACUUUGGGGUAAACAACUUUGUUAUAAUACAGUCUCUGCCACAGAUGCAUGUGACCUCUUCAGGGGCCCAGAGUGGCUGAGGAAGGAAAGCUUCAAGCUGGCCAUGGGGGUCCCAAACAGUCAUUCCAGGCUUAGAUGAUGACUAGCCUAGGUCAUCAGAGCCCAGACUCCACAGAGACUAAAAUCAGAGCUCUGUCUUGUUAUGAUAAAUUUCAUUUGCUUGGAAAAAGAAAUGCUGAAAGCCAGUGUUUAGAAUCUUUGUGCAGAUGACCAAAGCAAUUGACUUGGCCAAGAAAAGGUAAGGUAAAUAAACAUUUUUCAAAAUGAGUUUCUCCUUGAUAGUGGUCACUGUCAAAUGGAGGAGAAUUGCUUCUGACUCACGAGUUGUUCAAAGCCUGUAGCCCAGGGUGGGGUUUGAGCUGCAGAAGAAGAAGAAGGCAGACCUAGAGUAGGAAAGGGGUGCCUCAUGAAGCCAUAUGGUCUGGCCCCAGCCUUUGGAGAGGUGAAGUCCAUUCAGGCAGCUAGUGUUCACUGUGACCACAGAGCUCCACACUAUGCCAGGCACUAGGAAUUUCUUGGAGAGACGAUCUAGUGGGUUGAGACAGGUCUGAAAACACAAUUACAGUACAGUGUCCGCAAUGCUGGUCUUUGAUUCAACGCAUAAAUUGAGCACCUACAGAUGCUGAGACUACCUGAGUGAACAAAGUGCUUGUAAAAUUGGAUCUGAGGGCCAGGCAUGGUAGCUCAUGCCUGUAAUCCCAUUUCUUUAGGAGGCCUGAGCAGGAGGAUUGCUUGAGGCCAGGAGUUUGAGAUCAGCCUGGG